AACAGGGUCUCAUUAGGUAUCUGUGCUUGGCUUGGAACUCACCAUGUAACCCAGGCUGGCCUUGAACUCACCAUGUAGGCCAGGCUGGCCUUGAACUGACCAAGGUCUGCCUGCCUCUUCUGAGGCAGAUCCUGAGAUUAAUAGCAUGUGCUGUUUAUGUGGUGCUGAGGUUUCCUGUAUUCUCAGCAAGUAUUCUACCACUGUAUUGCCUCCUGAGGCCUCCAACCUCCCUAUGUCUUCUGGUCUACCUUUAUUUUUAUGCUUUUUCUUCAUGUUGGACCUGUUCUGAUUGAGAGCCCUCCUGGAACUCCAGAAGUCCCUGUCCCCAUGCCACCCCAGCCUAGAGUGUCUCGCCUCGUCACCACAGAAAUGGUGCAAUUGGAUCCAGAUGGGGCCUGGUCCCUGCUGCAAUGAGUCCUAUAUCACUGCCUGCCUUCCUGCCCCAUAAUUAUCAGCUUUGGGGCUGGAGAGAUGGCUCAGCAGUUAAGAGCGCCGACUGUUCUUCCAGAGGUCUUGAGUUCAAUUCCCAGCAACCACAUGGUGACUCACAACCAUCUCUAAUGGAUCUAAUUACCUCUUCUGGCAUGUGUCUGAAGACA